rnacentral:rRNA from 1 species
AUUGAACGCUGGCGGAAUGCUUUACACAUGCAAGUCGAGCGGCAGCGCGGGGGCAACCCUGGCGGCGAGCGGCGAACGGGUGAGUAACAUAUCGGAACGUACCCAGUCGUGGGGGAUAACUAUCCGAAAGGAUAGCUAAUACCGCAUACGUCCUGAGGGAGAAAGCGGGGGAUCGCAAGACCUCGCGCGAUUGGAGCGGCCGAUAUCGGAUUAGCUAGUUGGUGGGGUAAAGGCUCACCAAGGCGACGAUCCGUAGCGGGUCUGAGAGGACGACCCGCCACACUGGAACUGAGACACGGUCCAGACUCCUACGGGAGGCAGCAGUGGGGAAUUUUGGACAAUGGGGGCAACCCUGAUCCAGCCAUUCCGCGUGAGUGAAGAAGGCCUGAGGGUUGUAAAGCACUUUCAAUCGUGAAGAAAAGUUAGCAGGCUAAUACCCUGUGACCUUGACGUUAACGAUACAAGAAGCACCGGCUAACUCCGUGCCAGCAGCCGCGGUAAAGU